GACAGAGGUGCCAAGCGUUAGGCGGAAUCACUGGGCUUAAAGCGUGUGUAGGCGGAUGCCUAAGUACCUUGUGAAAUCCCACGGCGUCAACCGUGGAACUGCUUGGUAUACUGGGUGUCUUGAGCCAUCUAGGGGCUACCGGAACAAAUGGUGGAGCGGUGAAAUGCGUAGAUAUCAUUUGGAACGCCAUGGUGAAAACAGGUAGCUGGGGAUGUGCUGACGCUGAGACACGAAGCCAGGGGAGCAAACGGG
rnacentral:rRNA from 1 species